CAGGUGUUGGCAUCGACGACAAACCGCUGAUUAGCCCGCUCCCUUGAUUCAAGGAGGAUCGGACUGGGGUGAUCAGCCUCCAGGAAUUCAAAGCUUUCACUCGCUACCAGAAGCCCUAGACCACAGGGCCCUGAGGCCGCGGUCUGGGGGGACAGCCCGUGGCAUUUCUGGCCCAGCCGCCCGUCCCAGUCUGGCUGCCGCCGCGCCUCCACGCUGCACAGAUAAGCGGAGUCAGAACCCUCUGGAUACCCAGGGCUGGCCCCCUGCGGGCGGCGCUCCUCGGAGCAGUCACCACGCAGUGGCCCAAGCCCACGAGUCCUUCACCUUCGUGCGCAGCCCCGCCACGAGCUGCCAGCUGCUCUCCGCCCGUGAGUCUGCCCCAUUUCCCAGUCAGUGCGGCGAGUUCACUAGAGUCCCCCCAGGAGUGAGGUCACGCGGGGUUUGUCUCGCUCUCACUGGCUUACUUCACUGAGCAUAGCG